AAAAGGGAAAGCGCCGCUCCACAGAACUGUUCAUCUACCUCUGCAGGCCAAUGCCAAGACACAAAUUAGUAGUUGUUUAUAAAAAAUCACAAGAAACUUCUUCAGAAAUAUUCCAACAUUAUUGUAUGCUCCAAAACUCAGAAUCAUACGAGCAAAGUUCUUGUUUUCAAUACAACGAGUGGAUAAAAGAUUAUAAUUCUUAUCCAUCUCGAGGUCAUCAAACGUUAUGUCAAAAAUCCCUUUUACAACAUAAUUUCUAUUUUGGUAGAUGAAUAUUUGGGGAAACACGAGGAACACCUAGCCACCUUCAAGAAACUAAUAGUAAUAUUUUCUGAUUAUGUAAGUAGCAAUUGGACAACUUCACACAAUUUGGCCAACUCCUGCCUGAAUCUGGCCUGCCUUGGUCAUGGUUUUCAAAUGUGAUUUGCUAGUAAAAAGUUGAUUUUCCUAGCAAGACUUUUGCCUGCACGCUAGUCUUGAUAUUUAUAUGAGUAUGAUUCCGAGCUCAAGACCUAUAAGAAAGUACAUUCAGUUUUGGAAUUAUUCAUCUACCUCGGCUAGCCAACCCUAUCGUCCUUCGUCCACAAACAACGCUGAGAUAAUAAAAAAUUAGAAUUUGUACCAUCACAAAUCACAAGAAAAUUAUUCAUCGUAUUUCAGAAAUAUUUCAACUUUAUUGUACGCUCCAAAUUAAGCUAACACCUCUAGUUAGAUAACAACAUGUAUUUAUCGUUACCUGUACAUGUGCAUUUUUUUUGACCUAUUACGGUUCAAUUUACUAAUAGAUAGUAGAUAUAGUUGGUAUUUUUUCCCUUACUGCAACUACAUUGCACUUACUAUUUCCACUUUCUACUAGAUUAGUAAAAGCUAAAAACAUAGUUCUUUUUGUUGUCAAACUUUAGCAUAUGCUUAGAGCUAAGAAUUAGUUAAGCCUCUAACAAUUUUAAAAACACUUUCAAUAAUUGAUAGCAUUUUUGAUUAAAAAAUACAUAAAAUAUUGAAAGUGUAAUUUUAAUUAUUGGAGGCUUAACCAAUUCUUAGUUCUAAGCAAAUGUCAAAGUUUGAACAAAUUCAUGUAUUUAGCUUUUACUAAUCUAGUAGAAAGGUGAAAUAGUAAGUGCAAAGUAGUUGCAGUAAGGGGAAAAAUACCAACUAUAUCUACUAUCUAUCAGGAAAUGGAGCCAUAAUAGGUCAAAAUAAAUGCACCCGUAACGAUAAAUACAUGUUGUUAUUAGACCAGAGACAUUGACUUAAUUUGGAGCGUACAAUAUAGUUAUAAUAUUUAUGAAACACAACAAAGAAUUUUCUUGUUAUUUGUGAUGGCACAACUGCUAAUCAGUGUCUCGUCUCAGCAUUGUCUAUGGACAGAGGACGAGAAGGUUGUCUAGCUGAGGUAGAGGAAGAGUUCCAAAAUUGAAUGUACUUUCUUAUAAAUCUUGAGCUCAGAAUCAUACUCAUAUAAAUAUACAAAUUGAUGUUCAGGUGAUGUCUUAUCAUGAAUUUUUUUUUUACCAUUAAACCACAUUGGAAAACCAUGACCAAUGAUGCAUGCACACCAAGCCAUGAGAAGGAGUUCAUGAGCUUUGUAUCAAGUCAAUAGUUUGGAGGCUUGGAAGGAAUUUGGAAUGAAGGCUUGAAGCUUUGAAACUUUGAAGAUUUUGCAAGUGGGUUUAUUGAUUGGAAUAAAUUGGGGCUUGAAAAGAAUAUGGGUUUGUCUUCCAUAGCAAGGGAAGCCUAAAUCUCAAUUUCAUGGAAUUUGGAGCUCAAACGAAGAAGUUAUGAAAAUUUGAAGCUCACCUUAUUGAUGAAGUCCUUCAUGAGUUGAAUAAAGAGGAAAAUGAGUUUCUAAUUUUGAGAUUGCUUGCAUGAAAUCAAGGCUUCAAAGUAAUGGAGGUUUGUUCCCCAUAGCAAGAAUAGCUUGGGAUUUCAAAUUUGAAAGGAAUCAGAGCCAAAAUGAAAGAGUUG
rnacentral:lncRNA from 1 species